rnacentral:rRNA from 1 species
UGGGGAAUAUUGGACAAUGGGCGCAAGCCUGAUCCAGCCAUGCCGCGUGAGUGAUGAAGGCCUUAGGGUUGUAAAGCUCUUUCGCCGGUGAAGAUAAUGACGGUAACCGGAGAAGAAGCCCCGGCUAACUUCGUGCCAGCAGCCGCGGUAAUACGAAGGGGGCUAGCGUUGCUCGGAAUUACUGGGCGUAAAGCGCACGUAGGCGGUUUCUUAAGUCGGGGGUGAAAUCCUGGAGCUCAACUCCAGAACUGCCUUCGAUACUGGGAAACUUGAGUUCGGGAGAGGUGAGUGGAACUGCGAGUGUAGAGGUGAAAUUCGUAGAUAUUCGCAAGAACACCAGUGGCGAAGGCGGCUCACUGACCCGAUACUGACGCUGAGGUGCGAAAGCGUGG